UGUGUUUUGUCUACAAAAGGGAAAAAGACAAUAAAAUUAGAUUUUUGGAAAAACGAGUGGAUGAGUUGGAACAAUACACCAGAAUGGAUGAUGUUAUUGUAACAG